AGUCGAGCGAUGAAGUUGCCUUCGGGGAACGGAUUAGCGGCGGACGGGUGAGUAACACGUGGGUAACCUGCCUCAAAGAGGGGGAUAGCCUCCCGAAAGGGAGAUUAAUACCGCAUAAUAUCUUUUUAAUGCAUGUUAGAAAGAUUAAAGGAGCAAUCCGCUUUGAGAUGGACCCGCGGCGCAUUAGCUAGUUGGUGAGGUAACGGCUCACCAAGGCGACGAUGCGUAGCCGACCUGAGAGGGUGAUCGGCCACAUUGGGACUGAGACACGGCCCAGACUCCUACGGGAGGCAGCAGUGGGGAAUAUUGCGCAAUGGGGGGAACCCUGACGCAGCAACGCCGCGUGAGUGAUGAAGGUCUUCGGAUCGUAAAGCUCUGUCUUCAGGGACGAUAAUGACGGUACCUGAGGAGGAAGCCACGGCUAACUACGUGCCAGCAGCCGCGGUAAUACGUAGGUGGCAAGCGUUGUCCGGAUUUAUUGGGCGUAAAGCAUGCGUAGGCGGAUAUUUAAGUGGGAUGUGAAAUCCCGGGGCUUAACCCCGGUGCUGCAUUUCAAACUGGAUAUCUAGAGUGCAGGAGAGGAAAGCGGAAUUCCUAGUGUAGCGGUGAAAUGCGUAGAUAUUAGGAAGAACACCAGUGGCGAAGGCGGCUUUCUGGACUGUAACUGACGCUGAGGCAUGAAAGCGUGGGUAGCAAACAGGAUUAGAUACCCUGGUAGUCCACGCCGUAAACGAUGGGUACUAGGUGUCGGGGUUUCAAUACUCCGGUGCGCAGUUAACACAUUAAGUACCCCGCCUGGGGGAGUACGAUCGCA
rnacentral:rRNA from 1 species